ACUGCUAUCGGAUUGAUACUAAGCCAUGCGAGUCAUUGUAGUAAUACAAGGCAGACGGCUCAGUAACGCGUAGUCAACCUACCCUAUGGACGGGAAUAACCUCGGGAAACUGAGAAUAAUGCCCGAUAGAACAUUAUGCCUGGAAUGGUUUAUGUUCCAAAUGAUUUAUCGCCGUAGGAUGGGACUGCGUCCUAUCAGUUUGUUGGUGAGGUAAUGGCCCACCAAGACUAUUACAGGUACGGGCUCUGAGAGGAGUGGCCCGGAGAUGGGUACUGAGACACGGACCCAGGCCCUAUGGGGCGCAGCAGGCGAGAAAACUUUGCAAUGUGCGAAAGCACGACAAGGUUAAUCCGAGUGGUUUCUGCUAAAGGAACCUUUUGUCGGUCCUAGAAACACCGAUGAAUAAGGGGUGGGCAAGUUCUGGUGUCAGCCGCCGCGGUAAAACCAGCACCUCAAGUUGUCAGGAUGAUUAUUGGGCCUAAAGCAUCCGUAGCCGGCUCUGUUAGUUUUCGGUUAAAUCUAUACGCUCAACGUAUAGGCUGCCGGGAAUACUGCAGAGCUAGGGAGUGGGAGAGGUAGACGGUACUCGGUAGGAAGGGGUAAAAUCCUUUGAUCUAUUGAUGACCACCUGUGGCGAAAGCGGUCUACCAGAACACGUCCGACGGUGAGGGAUGAAAGCUGGGGGAGCAAACCGGAUUAGAUACCCGGGUAGUCCCAGCUGUAAACUAUGCAAACUCAGUGAUGCAUUGGCUUGUGGCCAAUGCAGUGCUGCAGGGAAGCCGUUAAGUUUGCCGCCUGGGAAGUACGUACGCAAGUAUGAAACUUAAAGGAAUUGGCGGGGGAGCACCACCAGGGGUGAAG
rnacentral:rRNA from 1 species